rnacentral:misc_RNA from 1 species
GAUGAUCAAGAAUUGCUUGUGGAAGAACAGCAGAUUGCCGAGCCAUAGGAGGAAGCUCAGAAGAAGCGAUAACUGAGGCAUGAGCUGGCUUUAACGAGGAACAUGCAAACUAUUAUGAACAAGCACAUCAGAUGGUAAACUCAACUUAUAUGCAGUUUUGCCCACUCAUCAAUUAUCUGAUACGGACCAUAGUAUUUAGCUUGGAGUUUAGGGGAGCCCUGCACCAACG